UGGGGAAUAUUGCACAAUGGGCGCAAGCCUGAUGCAGCCAUGCCGCGUGUAUGAAGAAGGCCUUCGGGUUGUAAAGUACUUUCAGCGGGGAGGAAGGGAGUAAAGUUAAUACCUUUGCUCAUUGACGUUACCCGCAGAAGAAUCACCGGCUAACUCCGUGCCAGCAGCCGCGGUAAUACGGAGGGUGCAAGCGUUAAUCGGAAUUACUGGGCGUAAAGCGCACGCAGGCGGUUUGUUAAGUCAGAUGUGAAAUCCCCGGGCUCAACCUGGGAACUGCAUCUGAUACUGGCAAGCUUGAGUCUCGUAGAGGGGGGUAGAAUUCCAGGUGUAGCGGUGAAAUGCGUAGAGAUCUGGAGGAAUACCGGUGGCGAAGGCGGCCCCCUGGACGAAGACUGACGCUCAGGUGCGAAAGCGUGGGGAGCAAACAGG
rnacentral:rRNA from 2 species